CGAAUUUGGUAAAGCCGAAAAAAAAAAAAAAAGAAGAAGAAGAAAAUCCGGAAUGUUGGACCUGGAGUAUCUGCCAUACGAUGUGUUGCCGGAUAUCCUGCAUGGACUGCCCGUGAAAUCCCUAAUCCGAUUCAGGUGCGUUUCCAAAUCAUGGAAUUCUCUAAUCACAAGUCCUGCCUUCAUCAAUUCCAAUCUCACUCGAUCGCCCUCCGAUUCCAACAAAUUAAUUGUUAGGUAUUUGGAUGUCAUAUGCCAAGUAGAGCGCUACAAAUUAAUUUACGAAGACAAUGACAAUGAUGACUCCUCCUCAUCUGAACAAAUUCAAGAUCUUGAGUUCCCACUAAGGUGUAGUAGUCGGGACUAUUUUCAAUUAGUCGGUUCCGCGAAUGGAUUGUUUUGCCUUCAUGAAGGAAACCGCGUUAUUCUUUGGAAUCCUUGUAUUAGAAAAUUUAUUACCCUUCCCAACCCUUCUUUUAUUGACGUCUUUCAUUGUUAUCUAGCAAUUGGGUUUGAUUUGAGGACCGAUGAUUAUAAGGUGGUGAGAAUUGCCUAUCAAAGUGUAAAUGUUAGGUGCGAAGGUGCCAAACCACCUCUGGUUGAGGUUUACUCUGUUAGCGAGGGAUCUUGGAGAGUAACUAAUGGUGGUGACUCAUAUCCGCCUAGGAUUACUAUUAGUAAUUGGCACCCACAAGCAGCUUAUUUAAAUGGAGCUGUUUAUUUUGCGGCGAAUGAUUGGGGCGAUGCCCAGAGUUUAAUAGUUUUGUCAUUUGAUUUGGGUGAUGAGGUUUUCCGCUUGAUAUCCUUGCCAAAUGGUAAAUUUGGAUUGGAUGCUGAUAUUGGUACCUCAGUAUUCAAUGGAUUGCUUUCUCUAAUAUGUUAUGGGUAUCAGCAUCUGAGCAUCGUCAAGAGUUGUUCUGUUUGGGUUAUGAAAGAGGAUGGUGUUGUGGAUUCUUGGACUAAACAGUUCACUAUUGAACUCAAUAUGCUACGUUGGAAAGUGUUAGGUUUCUUGAAGAAUGAUCAUGUAUUAGUGCAGAAAAUAAAAUCACAUGGUUCGAAGCUCUUGUCAUAUGACCCUGAGAGCCAACAAGUGAAGAAUUUAGGGUUUUAUAGAAGCACAUAUUAUUCUUAUGCUGAUAAUUAUGCGAGGAAUCUUACCUUACUCGACAAACCAAAUGAUGUAGUUUCCAAGAGGAAAGUGAGCAAGAAGAGGAAGUGCAGGUAAUGUAGCAAAAUUUUAUCAAUUUAGAGGGAAAAAAAAAAGAUCCAGUGUACACAGGUAGCAUACGAGAGAGAGUCUUCAGUCUAACAAAAAUAACACAAGUCCACAAACUCCUUGAAAGAGAAAAAAGACAGCCUGUUCAAAGCAGCCAUCCAAUCAUACAACAAUCACAGCAAAAACAGUUUCAACUACAAUGAUAUAACAACAAUACAUAGAAGGACUGAAGGAUGCAAUCGCGUAAUGUGGCAGUAGUUUUUUCUUUUUGCCUAGAAUUUUUUUUUUUUUUUUUUUGGGCCUAUGGCUCUUUGUCAAGCCUUCUUUGUUUGGAAAGGAUCAUUUUAAAUUUUAGACAAAAAUGUAAAGUACACUUUCUAUUUAGAAUAAUUAUUUUUUUUUU